rnacentral:rRNA from 1 species
GACGAACGCUGGCGGCGUGCCUAAUACAUGCAAGUAGAACGCACAGUUUACACCGUAGCUUGCUACACCAUAGACUGUGAGUUGCGAACGGGUGAGUAACGCGUAGGUAACCUGCCUGGUAGCGGGGGAUAACUAUUGGAAACGAUAGCUAAUACCGCAUAAUAUUAAUUAUUGCAUGAUAAUUAAUUGAAAGGUGCAAUUGCACCACUACCAGAUGGACCUGCGUUGUAUUAGCUAGUAGGUGAGGUAACGGCUCACCUAGGCGACGAUACAUAGCCGACCUGAGAGGGUGAUCGGCCACACUGGGACUGAGACACGGCCCAGACUCCUACGGGAGGCAGCAGUAGGGAAUCUUCGGCAAUGGACGAAAGUCUGACCGAGCAACGCCGCGUGAGUGAAGAAGGUUUUCGGAUCGUAAAGCUCUGUUGUAAGAGAAGAACGGGUGUGAGAGUGGAAAGUUCACACUGUGACGGUAUCUUACCAGAAAGGGACGGCUAACUACGUG